rnacentral:rRNA from 1 species
AUACGGAGGGUGCAAGCGUUGUUCGGAAUUACUGGGCGUAAAGCGCGUGCAGGCGGUAAGGUAAGUCAGAUAUGAAAGCCCCGGGCUCAACCCGGGAAGUGCAUUUGAUACUGCCUUUCUUGAGUAUGGGAGAGGAGAGUGGAAUUCCCAGUGUAGAGGUGAAAUUCGUAGAUAUUGGGAGGAACACCCGUGGCGAAGGCGACUCUCUGGACCAAUACUGACGCUGAGACGCGAAAGCGUGGGGAGCGAACAGGAUUAGAUACCCUGGUAGUCC